rnacentral:lncRNA from 1 species
CUGCGCUCUGGGGCCGGCGUGGCGCGGCCACUGCUCCGGGGCUGCAGGCUUUUAGGUGCUGGGAGGGCGAAGCAGGAGAGCUGGUUAGUCCAUCCCUGCGCUCCGCAAACUUUCCUAACCGGGUAACAAAGUGAGCCGCGGUGGCCGCAGCGAUUCUUUUAACUUCACAUUCCGGAGGCUUGAGGGGGCUCUGGGACCGAGUGGCCUCGCAGCGGCGACAGAAAUGCAUAUUUUACGAAAAAGAAAAAAAAAAAAAAACGAGUCGCGCGAACCCGUCAAGUCAGAUGUACGCGGCUUGAAGCGGCGGAGGCUCUGACGUCAGCCCCACCUCGCGCAGCCCGGCCUGGCCGCAGAAUGGCCGGUCACUCGCCGGCGGCUCAGGCCGGGAGGGGCCAGGACAGUCCCGGCCGCGCGGUGGACGGAGGGGCCAUUCCUCGGGGCGUUAGCAAAUGAAUUCCAUCCGAGUCAAUAUCGCCCAGCGAACGGUGUUUCUCUUUAGUCACCCGAGAACGAGAGGCACUUUUAAUUAGAAAUUAAUUAAUGAGCAGCUGCUCCUUCCUGCCCCACUGUAAUCAUUCGUCUCAAUUACAAAUGAGACCUAUGAAUGGACACGCUGAAGAUGUAAUCAACAGUUAAAAUUAGCCCGGCGCUGCGCAGGCUGCCGGCCCGGCCUCGCGCUCGCGCGCUCUGCUCCGAGUGGCAGGAAGGGGCUCGCAGGCGCCCCGCGCGUCUCGUCACUAUUGUUUAUCGGGAAUCUGCAACGCCUCCCUUCGGUUUCCACCCUACGCCGGAAUGGACUUUCAGAACCCACUGCGGCCGCAAGAGAGCCCGCAAGAGCCGGUCAAAAUGUCCUCAGACGAAAAUACGAGUUCUCCGAUCGCGUUGGACCGGAGCGGGCCACGUCCGAGCUGCUUGCAGAGGGAAACCAUCGGAAAUAAUGAAUAGCCGCUCCAUGCAAAUUAUUCAGACAGUUUAGCGUCGGUAGCCGCGAGAAAUAUAUAAAGAACACGAGUCAAACGACAUUAAUAAUUGUUUCUGAAUUCUGUAUUGAUUUCGCGGCAGACCGUGUUUAUUUCUUUCUCACCUGAAUCGCUAAUAUCACCUUCCUGUAAAUAAUAAGAAACUAGCCACCGGGGCUUCUCGCUAGAAAUGAAUCUCUCAACCCCUUUCCCUCUCCUCCAGCUCCUCCCCUCCCCCACCCACCUUC